AGAGUUUGAUCAUGGCUCAGAACGAACGCUGGCGGCAGGCCUAAUACAUGCAAGUCGAACGAACCUUCGGGUGAGUGGCGCACGGGUGCGUAACGCGUGGGAAUAUGCCCUUGGGUGCGGAAUAACGUAGAGAAAUUUACGCUAAUACCACAUAAUGACUUCGGUCCAAAGAUUUAUCGCCCAAGGAUUAGCCCGCGUUAGAUUAGCUAGUUGGUGAGGUAACGGCUCACCAAGGCGACGAUCUAUAGGGGGUCUGAGAGGAUGAUCCCCCACACUGGAACUGAGACACGGUCCAGACUCCUACGGGAGGCAGCAGUAAGGAAUAUUGGACAAUGGGGGCAACCCUGAUCCAGCCAUGCCGCGUGAAUGAAGAAGGCCUUAGGGUUGUAAAGUUCUUUUAACGGUGAAGAUAAUGACGGUAGCCGUAGAAAAAGCUCCGGCUAAAUUCGUGCCAGCAGCCGCGGUAAUACGAAUGGAGCAAGCGUUGUUCGGAAUCACUGGGCUUAAAGCGUGCGCAGGCGGUUUGUAAAGUCAGAAGUGAAAGCCCUGGGCUCAACCCAGGAACUGCUUUUGAAACUCACAAACUAUAAUCCGGGAGAGGUUGGUAGAAUUCCUAGUGUAGAGGUGAAAUUCGCAGAUAUUAGGAGGAAUACCAGUGGCGAAGGCGACCAACUGGACCGGUAUUGACGCUCAUGUACGAAAGCGUGGGGAGCAAACAGGAUUAGAUACCCCGGUAGUCCACGCUGUAAACGAUGUGUGCUAGUUGUCGGGGCCCUUAGGGUCCCGGUGACGCAGCGAAAGCAUUAAGCACACCGCCUGGGGAGUACGGCCGCAAGGUUAAAACUCAAAGGAAUUGACGGG
rnacentral:rRNA from 1 species